AGAAUCAACGCUGGCGGCGUGCCUCAGACAUGCAAGUCGAACGAUUAAAGCCCUCUUCGGAGAGUGUAUAGAGUGGCGCACGGGUGAGUAACACGUAAGUAAUCUACCUUUGAGUGGGGAAUAACAGUCGGAAACGACUGCUAAUACCGCAUAAUGCAGCGGCAUCGCAAGAUGACAGUUGUUAAAGGAGCAAUCCGACUUAAAGAGGAGCUUGCGGCAGAUUAGCUAGUUGGUAAGGUAAUGGCUUACCAAGGCUACGAUCUGUAACCGGUCUAAGAGGACGGUCGGUCACACUGACACUGAAUAACGGGUACACGACGUCCGUAACGGGAGGCAAGCGAGUCGGGUAAGUUUUGGGACAAGUGGGACG
rnacentral:rRNA from 1 species